CCUACGGGAGGCAGCAGUGAGGAAUAUUGGUCAAUGGACGAGAGUCUGAACCAGCCAAGUAGCGUGAAGGAUGACUGCCCUAUGGGUUGUAAACUUCUUUUAUAUGGGAAUAAAAUGUUCCACGUGUGGGAUUUUGUAUGUACCAUAUGAAUAAGGAUCGGCUAACUCCGUGCCAGCAGCCGCGGUAAUACGGAGGAUCCGAGCGUUAUCCGGAUUUAUUGGGUUUAAAGGGAGCGUAGGUGGAGUGUUAAGUCAGUUGUGAAAUUUUGCGGCUCAACCGUAAAAUUGCAUUUGAAACUGGCAGUCUAGAGAACAGUAGAGGUAGGCGGAAUUCGUGGUGUAGCGGUGAAAUGCUGAGAGAUCACGAAGAACUCCGAUUGCGAAGGCAGCUCACUGGACUACAACUGACGCUGAGGCUCGAAAGUGUGGGGAUCAAACAGGAUUAGAUACCCUGGUAGUC
rnacentral:rRNA from 1 species